CCUCCUCCCCCUCCAAAGGAAAUAUAUUAUUAUUUCCUUUUCAGAUUGAUAUUCCAGUUAAUGUUGCUAUAUAUUCAGUUAUAAAUUUUCUUUUUUGUAGGAAACAGAGCUUCAGAAACCUGUUGUGAUUCAUCUUGGUCAAUAUACAGUUAACGAAGACUCAGUUUCACAAGAAGAUAGUAAUGACUCUGAUGAUAAUUUUCCUUCUGAACUGUAUCGUAUUCAAAAAAAUUUACAGAAAGCUGAGGAACAGAGUGUAGAGUAUGUGAAGAAAAUUGAGAUUCUGCAGAAAAUUAGACAUGAACAAAAAAGAAUUAUUUCUGAUCUAAAACUUAUGAUAAAGCAUUUGAAAAAAAAGAAUGCAAUGAAUGAUGAUGACUUGGAAGAUACGGCAGAUGCAUUUGAUGAGCUAGAAGCUGUAUCAGACACAGCGAAAUGACACUGGUGAAGACAUGGAAACUCUGUGAAAUGCAUUGAAAGAUAGAAUCAAAUCAAGUGGGUUUUCCUCUAACAAUUAAAAAUAGCUGAAAAUUAUUUUACUAAAAUGAUAUUAAUAAUCAAGUACUUUUAACCUUAACUAUUUUAAACAAUUUUCUGUGUAAUAAUAUCUUAUGAUAAACUGCCCUCCGGUUGUUCUCAAAUUUAUAUAUGUAUAUGUGUAUUUAUAUAUGUGUUAUAUAUGUAAAUACUCAAACAUGUUAUCUUGAUUUGUACAGCCAACCAUGUGAUUCUAAAUUAAAGACAAAUUAUUUACAGGG